rnacentral:misc_RNA from 1 species
GAUGAAGAACGUAGCGAAAUGCGAUAAGUAAUGUGAAUUGCAGAAUUCAGUGAAUCAUCGAGUCUUUGAACGCACAUUGCGCCCCCUGGUAUUCCGGGGGGCAUGCCUGUCCGUGCGUCAUUGCUGCCCUCAAGCACGGCUUGUGUGUUGGGCCCCCGCCCCCCGGCUUCGGGGGGCGGGCCCGAAAGGCAGCGGCGGCACCGCGUCCGGUCCUCGAGCGUAUGGGGCUUCGUCACCCGCUCUGUAGGCCCGGCCGGCGCCCGCCGGCGACCCCAAUCAAUCUUUCCAGGUUGACCUCGGAUCAGGUAGGGAUACCCGCUGAACUUAAGCAUAUCAAUAAGCGGAGGA